rnacentral:sRNA from 1 species
UAAUAGAUAGCCGUGUCAUCGGCAAAGA